rnacentral:rRNA from 1 species
UGGGGAAUCUUCCGCAAUGGACGCAAGUCUGACGGAGCAACGCCGCGUGAGUGAAGACGGCCUUCGGGUUGUAAAGCUCUGUUAUUCGGGAAGAACGAUUCGUUUGUGAACAAUGAACGGAAGUGACGGUACCGAAAGAGAAAGCCACGGCUAACUACGUGCCAGCAGCCGCGGUAAUACGUAGGUGGCAAGCGUUGUCCGGAAUUAUUGGGCGUAAAGAGCGCGUAGGCGGUAUGGUAAGUCUGUCUUAGAAGUGCGGGGCUUAACCCCGUGAGGGGACAGAGACUGUCAUACUGGAGUCUCGGAGAGGAAAGCGGAAUUCCUAGUGUAGCGGUGAAAUGCGUAGAGAUUAGGAAGAACACCGGUGGCGAAGGCGGCUUUCUGGACGAGCACUGACGCUGAGGCGCGAAAGCGUGGGGAGCGAACAGG